CAUGGCAGUACUCAAAGGUAUUGUUUAGUAAAUAUGCUUUUCCAUCUUUUAUUUUUUUAGCAUGGAAGGGGAAUAAACUGGACUGAAGGACCUUUGGUGAUCUCGCAGGGUUUUCCUUGGACCACAACAAAAUCUGCCUUCUAGAGCUGUGAAUAUGAAAUAAAGUGUGGAGA
rnacentral:lncRNA from 1 species